rnacentral:misc_RNA from 1 species
GAUGAAGAACGUAGCGAAAUGCGAUAAGUAAUGUGAAUUGCAGAAUUCAGUGAAUCAUCGAAUCUUUGAACGCACAUUGCGCCCGCCAGUAUUCUGGCGGGCAUGCCUGUUCGAGCGUCAUUACAACCCUCAGGCCCCCGGGCCUGGCGUUGGGGAUCGGCGGAGCCCCCCGUGGGCACACGCCGUCCCCCAAAUGCAGUGGCGGUCCCGCCGCAGCUUCCAUCGCGUAGUAGCUAACACCUCGCGACUGGAGAGCGGCGCGGCCACGCCGUAAAACACCCUACUCUUCUGAAGUUGACCUCGAAUCAGGUAGGAAUACCCGCUGAACUUAAGCAUAUCAAUAAGCGGAGGA